rnacentral:rRNA from 1 species
UACGUAGGGCGCAAGCGUUGUCCGGAAUUAUUGGGCGUAAAGAGCUCGUAGGCGGUCUGUCGCGUCUGCCGUGAAAACCCGAGGCUUAACCUCGUGGCUUGCGGUGGAUACGGGCAGACUAGAGGUAGGUAGGGGAGAAUGGAAUUCCCGGUGUAGCGGUGAAAUGCGCAGAUAUCGGGAGGAACACCGGUGGCGAAGGCGGUUCUCUGGGCCUUACCUGACGCUGAGGAGCGAAAGCGUGGGGAGCGAACGGG